rnacentral:lncRNA from 1 species
UUUCCCAACAGGCUGAUGGGCCUGUUUUCCUGGUGAUCAAUAUUGAUGGACGAGUGAGAUGGAAAGUUGGAACUUUCAUUUCAGGUAGAUAUCAUCUUUACGUUAGAUGUCCGGCUUCUAUUACCUUCGGGAGCAAAAGUAACGGCGUUAUUGUCGGAGAAAACGCUGUUAAGUAUCAGUUCGUGACUAGAUGCAGCGUUAGUGUCUGAACAGAAAGAAGGCGAAGAAGAAAUUAACGCCGUUAAGUUUAUCGUUUGUUUUUCUCUAUCUUAAUCUCUCUCCCUCGUUCUUUUUUUGACGCCGUUAGUUUUUUCUUUUUUUUUUUUAGCAAGGGGAGGAAAUUGUACAUUUUGCUAUAGAAUAAAUGGAGAGACAGAUAGCAAAAUUUACAAUUAAAUAAGUGAACUAGCUGUAGUAAUUUUUAAUUUCUAAAAGAAAUGUGUGAUUAAUAAGAAUUAUUUUUCAAUUACAUAGUAAUUGAGCAAUUAAUUAGUUGUUUACUCUUUAUUUCAUUUCUUUAUCAUUUUUUAAUUCUUGGAUCUAUAAAUUUUGUUUUUCUUAAGAAAAAGAGAAUAUUUUCAACCUUGAUUGGGGUGUCGGUUCUAUUUGUUAAUAUAUGUUUCUUAUUUCUUAUGAUUGACUCCAUGUACAUCUUGAUGACCUGAAUUUAUUUUUUUUCAUUUAUUUUAAAUUGUAGUUUGUUAUUUGAACAUGAGUUAGGGGGUUUUAAUCGUCUUUGAGUAUAAAAAAAGGGUUGAAUCGUAUUUGUUGAGGUGUAGACAAAUUUUUGGAAAUAUUUAUGCAACAUGCACCAAUAGGGCAAUAGCAAAUGCAAUUCAAUCUUUUUUAAUUUAUUAUAAAAAAUUUAAAAAUCCAUUAAAAAUUUUGAUUAUUUUUUGGAUGAAUUAAUAUAUCAUUAAAAUUGAUAUUUAAAAAUUAUAAAUUCAUAAAAGUUUUAAAUAUAUUAAAUAUGAUUUUUUAAAUAACUUCACGAAGAGUUAAAUUUUGACCAAGUCAUUGUUUGUUAAUAUAAAAAAAUUAUUAUUUUUUUCUUAGCACUCCCACAAGUACACUAUACUAGAGUUAUAACAUAGAUACAAUCAUUGAUUCAUUUUUCUUUUACAAAAACAAUUAAAUAAAUGAAAAAAAACAGAUACUAAUCAAGAUAAGCCCUUCCUGUUUUAUUUUAUAUAAACACAAACACACCCAACAAGUUCAUUUCAUUACACAAACAAAAGCAGAGAGGUCCCUCACUCUGUUUGGCUCUUCUUCAUCUUCCUCUUUCCUUCUUCCACACAUUAAAAUUAAACAACCCAACCCUUUUUUCCCAUAACUCUCACGCAAACUUCGUUUUCACUCGCACUUUCUGUACCCAUGACGACCAAGGAUUGUGGCAGCCAUGGCAAAUACCGCCGGAAAAUGGUCCGAAGAAUCAUCGCUUGCAUUCUAAUCUUCAACCUGAUUCUUCUCAUCACAAUCCUUCUCAUUUGGGCAAUCCUUCGUCCCAGCAAACCCACGUUCAUCCUCCAAGACACCACGGUCUACGCUUUCAACGCCUCGACCCCGAAUUUCCUCACAUCCAGUUUCCAAGUCACCAUAUCUUCUCGAAACCCAAAUGACAGAAUUGGAAUUUACUACGACAGGCUCGACAUCUACGCCACGUACAUGAACCAACAAAUCACCCUCCGGACAGCACUCCCUCCUAAUUACCAGGGUCACAAGGACAUCACCGUUUGGUCGCCUUUCAUCUAUGGCAACAUGGUCCCCAUCGCUCCAUACUAUUCCGUGAAUUUGGUUUCCCAACAGGCUGAUGGGCCUAUUUUCCUGGUGAUCAAGAUUGAUGGACGAGUGAGAUGGAAAGUUGGAACUUUCAUUUCAGGCAGAUAUCAUCUGUACGUUAGAUGUCCGGCUUCUAUUACCUUCGGGAGCAAAAGUAACGGCGUUAUUGUCGGAGAAAACGCUGUUAAGUAUCAGUUCGUGACUAGAUGCAGCGUUAGUGUCUGAACAGAAAGAAGGCGAAGAAGAAAUUAACGCCGUUAAG